UUAUGACUUGUGAAAACACUUUGUUGUUGAAUAGCUUAAUAUAAACUGGUUUUCUUUUGUGGUAUAGGUAGUACCGAAGACUAUUGGAAAAGAUAGGAUGCUGCUCAAGUAAUGGCUCAGUUAGUAUGGGAAGGACUUGGACUCGGAGGAGGGACAGAUGUCCGAAACUGGGGCAGCCUGGUUUAUCUGG